UGGCAGGUGGGUGUGGGGAAUUGGGAAGAUGGAUGUGGUUCAUUGUCACUAUGCUUUACUCCUCUCCAGCCCAACCCAAGUUAGUGGGGCUGAGUUGGGAGCUGAACCUCUAUACCCACCUGGCUGCAAUGAGACUGAAUGCAGCAGUGCAAAACAGGGCUAGCUUGUAUUAGCCUCCCUUCUCCUCUCCCGCUUCCACAUCCCUCGCCCUUCAUUUUCUGAUCUACAAAGCCUGGUGAGGAGCCAGCCUCUACCACCACUUGGCAUCUGACAAGACAGAGAAUGUUGCUACUAGUGCCCCCAUCCCCACAGAGAGCUGCUGCCAACCCACAUCUCCACAGGAGACCCUCCAACACUAAGAAUUUUCCCAUUCUCACUCCCCAGUGUGAACUGAAAAUGGCAGUUCUUUAUUCAGUACACUGCAAAUGACUGGCACUCUAUUGCAGAUAAACUAUUCUCGGAUAUCCUUGGUUGUCUAUUCCUUGGGCCAAGUGCUGAGGACAUGGGAAUGGAGUGCCAUGAUUGAUUAAGCCUCUGCCACAUGCCCAGGUCUGAGAUGAGAACCAAGCAAGCCAUAUGGUGAACAAUCUUCCGGGAGACACACAGAUGGAGAAAGAGGACAUUUCCUCCCAGGAAGGAGGAGCCAGGCAGACAAGAGCAGCAAAUAUCUGUUGGAACUUCCCAUGUGUCCUCAUAGCAGUUCCCAGAUGUAGGUAGGAUCGAGAUUCCCAUUCACAUCAGUUGACAAGGACACAGUGGCUGACCCAAAGUCAAAUAAAUUGUAAGUGGGCAAGGAAGAACUUGAUCAAAGUCCACUGAAGGGUUUAGAGCUGGUUUGGAAGGGUUUAGAAGGGUUUAGGAAGUGAAGUGAUCUAAGUGACAUUUAAGAAAGAUUAAUAACAUAGAGAUAAACUCUAAGAGUUGCGUUUUAUUUUUGAACAAAAAUUUUUCCAUUCUUUGCUUUUUUCUUUCUGUAUUUUUAAAACCUGUGAAUCAUAUGACUUCUUUGAGGGUAAAAUUUAGAAAAUCAAUGUGAAAAGCUUUUGAUUAUUCAGAAAAAAUAAUAAAGAUCUUAAACACACACACACACAACUCCCUCUCUUGCUAUUCACAGUCACAGACACAAUCCUAUUAUGUUUAUUGAAAGUUUAUUGCAUUCUAGGCACCUCUCGUAUGCCUUACACAUAUUAUCUCAUUUAGCUCUCAUAAAGUAACCUUAUGAUGCAGGCUCUACUGUUGAUUUGCAUUUUACAAAGUCACAGAAAGUUUGUUAAGUAGUUUGUCCAAGUUCAUGUAGACAAUAGAUGUUAAAGCCAAAAUUCAUCUCCAGCCUGAUUGCUAAAUAGAUGUUCUUACCCACCAAACAUACAGCUAAAAAAUGCAUUCAUAUGCAGGAAAAAUAUGUGUAUAUUUUACUAUAUAUGUAUAUUUCACAUGAUUUAUUUGUGAUUGCUAAUGCCAUACAAUCUGUAAUCAAUUUAAAAUGUGUUUAUCCCAGUGGAACACAGAAAAUUCCUUUAUUUAGUAUUUCACUGUUUAUGAGAAUAAAUGGAUACAUACUGGU